GAACGCAUCUUGCGCUCCCUGGUAUUCCGAGGAGCAUGCCUGUUUGAGUGUCAUCUAAAUCCUCAAACCACAUUGAUUCUUUCGGUGUGGCUUUGGAAGUGGGGGUAAUGUUUGCAGGUUUUAUCCUAAGUCUGCUCCCCUGAAAUGCAUUAGUGGUAUCUGAGCAGAAGGAACUACUACAGGUGUGAUAAUUUAUCUAUGCCUUAGUAUACUGCAUAAAACAGAUUACACUGCUUAUAACAAACUUUAUUUCUUUUUUUUGGAGACCUCAAAUCAGGUAGGACUACCCGCUGAACUUA
rnacentral:misc_RNA from 1 species